AGCUACAUGAGCAGCCUCUUGUUGUGGAGCUUGAUCUUCGAGAUGACGGAGCUCAAAUUCAGUAUGUACUUCUAGAUCUGGUUGGUCGACGCACUGUUCCACAAGUAUUUGUGAAUGGCAAACACAUCUUAAAGCUGCUGUUGUGAGCGGUCAGUUGCAGAAACUACUUGGUACCAGUUAAUGAGAUAUUAGGAUGGUAUGAUGUGAAACAAAAACAUCUGAUCUGGAGGUACAUAUGAGGAUUAACAAAUCAUUCCUGGAGUCUGAGAUACAUAAAACAUAUGGUGAGGUUUUUUUAUAGCUUAGUGAUGUUAGCCAAAAGAGUUAAUGUAGCAGCCCUCAGCCAAUGAAAACUUGAUGUUUGGGGAAAAAAGGAUUUGUUAUAUGGUAAGUUUGGGGUGUGGAAAAUCAUUUGCUGUAUUGAUUAGAAAAUUUUGAUGCUUCUUAAAUAGCUCUAGUGUGUAUGUAGAGUGAAACUGAAUAGUGGGACUCUUGAAAAUUUCAUCAUUUCAUUUUAA